rnacentral:rRNA from 1 species
ACGAACGCUGGCGGCGUGCUUAACACAUGCAAGUCGAACGGAAAGGCCCUUCGGGGUACUCGAGUGGCGAACGGGUGAGUAACACGUGGGUGAUCUGCCCUGCACUUUGGGAUAAGCCUGGGAAACUGGGUCUAAUACCGAAUGGGACCACGCGCUUCAUGGUGUGUGGUGGAAAGCUUUUGCGGUGUGGGAUGGGCCCGCGGCCUAUCAGCUUGUUGGUGGGGUAAUGGCCUACCAAGGCGACGACGGGUAGCCGGCCUGAGAGGGUGACCGGCCACACUGGGACUGAGAUACGGCCCAGACUCCUACGGGAGGCAGCAGUGGGGAAUAUUGCACAAUGGGCGCAAGCCUGAUGCAGCGACGCCGCGUGAGGGAUGACGGCCUUCGGGUUGUAAACCUCUUUCAAUAGGGACGAAGCGCAAGUGACGGUACCUAUAGAAGAAGCACCGGCCAACUACGUG